CUACUAGGGUAUCUAAUCCUGUUUGCUCCCCACGCUUUCGCUCCUCAGCGUCAGAACAGGCCCAGAGAACCGCCUUCGCCACCGGUGUUCCUCCUGAUAUCUGCGCAUUUCACCGCUACACCAGGAAUUCCGUUCUCCCCCGCCUGCCUCUAGCCAGCCCGUAUCCACUGCACGCCCGGGGUUAAGCCCCGGGAUUUCACAGCGGACGCAACUGGCCGCCUACGAGCUCUUUACGCCCAAUAAUUCCGGACAACGCUCGCGCCCUACGUAUUACCGCGGCUGCUGGCAC
rnacentral:rRNA from 1 species